AUUGAACGCUGGCGGCAGGCUUAACACAUGCAAGUCGAGCGGAGAUGAGGUGCUUGCACCUUAUCUUAGCGGCGGACGGGUGAGUAAUGCUUAGGAAUCUGCCUAUUAGUGGGGGACAACAUUCCGAAAGGAAUGCUAAUACCGCAUACGUCCUACGGGAGAAAGCAGGGGAUCUUCGGACCUUGCGCUAAUAGAUGAGCCUAAGUCGGAGUAGCUAGUUGGUGGGGUAAAGGCCUACCAAGGCGACGAUCUGUAGCGGGUCUGAGAGGAUGAACCGCCACACUGGCACCGAGACACGGCCCAGACUCCUACGGGAGGCAGCAGUGGGGAAUAUUGGACAAUGGGGGGAACCCUGAUCCAGCCAUGCCGCGUGUGUGAAGAAGGCCUUAUGGUUGUAAAGCACUUUAAGCGAGGAGGAGGCUACUGAGACUAAUACUCUUGGAUAGUGGACGUUACUCGCAGAAUAAGCACCGGCUAACUCUGUGCCAGCCGCCGUAAAAC
rnacentral:rRNA from 1 species